UACUUCCAGACCCAGCUCUGCUGCCGUGGUGGCACCGUCCAGGAGAGGACCAAGCUGGUGGCCGUUUGUCCGUUCAGGCUCACCGACGUCACCUGGGGUGGCUCUGUGUGGUUGACGCUGAUGCUGGUGCUGGCCACGCUGCGGAGCGGGCUGAAAGCUGAGACCCCGUUUCGAGCUUCGAUGGUGAAGGUGUAGUUGACGUGGGGCUCCAGGUCAGUGACCGUCACCCCUGUCCCCACCAGCCCCUGGGGGGGCUGUGAGU
rnacentral:lncRNA from 1 species